CUACGGGCGGCAGCAGUGGGGAAUAUUGGACAAUGGGGGAAACCCUGAUCCAGCAAUGCCGCGUGUGUGAAGAAGGCCUGCGGGUUGUAAAGCACUUUCGGUUGGGAGGACUGCUUCUAGCACUAAUAUUGUUGGAAGUUGACGUUACCUUCAGAAGAAGCACCGGCUAACUCAGUGCCAGCAGCCGCGGUAAUACUGAGGGUGCAAGCGUUAAUCGGAAUUACUGGGCGUAAAGCGCGCGUAGGCGGCUAGAUCAGUCGGGUGUGAAAGCCCCGGGCUUAACCUGGGAACUGCAUCCGAUACUGUCUAGCUUGAGUACAGGAGAGGAGAGUGGAAUUCCACAUGUAGCGGUGAAAUGCGUAGAUAUGUGGAGGAACACCAAUGGCGAAGGCAGCUCUCUGGCCUGAUACUGGCGCUGAGGUGCGAAAGCGUGGGGAGCAAACAGGAUUAGAUACCCCCGUAGUC
rnacentral:rRNA from 1 species